rnacentral:rRNA from 1 species
UACAGAGGGUGCGAGCGUUAAUCGGAAUUACUGGGCGUAAAGCGUGCGUAGACGGUUACGUAAGUCGGGUGUGAAAGCCCCGGGCUCAACCUGGGAAUUGCAUUCGAGACUGCGUAGCUAGGGUGCGGAAGAGGGAAGCGGAAUUUCCGGUGUAGCGGUGAAAUGCGUAGAUAUCGGAAGGAACAUCAGUGGCGAAAGCGGCUUCCGUGGUCCAGCACCGACGUCAGGCACGAAAGCGUGGGGAGCAAACAGG